AGAGUUUGAUCAUGGCUCAGAUUGAACGCUGGCGGCAGGCCUAACACAUGCAAGUCGAGCGGUAGCACAGAGAGCUUGCUCUCGGGUGACGAGCGGCGGACGGGUGAGUAAUGUCUGGGAAACUGCCUGAUGGAGGGGGAUAACUACUGGAAACGGUAGCUAAUACCGCAUAAUGUCGCAAGACCAAAGUGGGGGACCUUCGGGCCUCAUGCCAUCAGAUGUGCCCAGAUGGGAUUAGCUAGUAGGUGGGGUAACGGCUCACCUAGGCGACGAUCCCUAGCUGGUCUGAGAGGAUGACCAGCCACACUGGAACUGAGACACGGUCCAGACUCCUACGGGAGGCAGCAGUGGGGAAUAUUGCACAAUGGGCGCAAGCCUGAUGCAGCCAUGCCGCGUGUGUGAAGAAGGCCUUCGGGUUGUAAAGCACUUUCAGCGGGGAGGAAGGCGGUGAGGUUAAUAACCUCACCGAUUGACGUUACCCGCAGAAGAAGCACCGG
rnacentral:rRNA from 1 species